rnacentral:RNase_P_RNA from 1 species
CGAGCCGGUCGGACGGCUGCGGGACGGGGACCAUCGCCCGGUGGCGACAGGCCCGCCUCCCGAGGAAAGUCCGGACUCCACAGAGCAGGGUGGUUGCUAACGGCAACCCGGGGUAACCCGCGGGAUCAGUGCCACAGAAAAUAAACCGCCACGCCCUCGGGCGCGGUAAGGGUGAAACGGUGCGGUAAGAGCGCACCAGCACCCCGGGUAACCGGGGUGGCUUGGUAAACCCCACCCGGAGCAAGGUCGAAGGUCGCAUCGCUCGCGGUGCGACUGCGCGGAUGACGUGCAGUGAUGCACGCAAGGGCUGCUCGCCCGAGUCCGCGGGUGGACCGCUCGAGGCACCCGGUGACGGUGUGUCCAGAUGGAUGGUCGUCUCCCGCCCGUCACGGGCGGGUACAGGAUCCGGCUUACAGGCCGGCUCGUUCA